GUGUUAGCGGAUUUGGUUGAUAAUAAAUCGGAUUUUAAAAGAUUCGUUUUCAGAUUGCUUGAUUUUAGUGUAAUCGAAUCUGUUUCUGUCAAAAAAAAUUAGGGUUUUUUUCUUCUUUAUUCCUUUUUGAUGGUCUUUUCUUGUUCUUUGGGUUAUUUUAAUUUGAAGAUAUGGAAUUUAUCAUUCUUCGAUUAUCUGUGAAAUUUAUGAGUUUUGAUUGCAAUACUUUCGUCAGAAAACUACAUUUUUAUUUAUUUUUUAUAUUAAAUAUGGAUCUUAGUGGGGGCAAAUUAAUCCAAGUUGAAUAUUGCUUAAUGUUAGGAUCUUGAACUAGAUUAAAAGAAGAAAGAGCCAUUUUGUAGUUAAUUUUCUUCAAAAUUUCAUUGCUUUUGCUCCCAACAUUAACAUUGUUAACUGUUUGCAAUUAACAAAGUAGACACUUUAUAGCAUGAGAUGAAGAAAGGAGGACAAUCCUUUUAUCAAAACCACAACUUCUUUCCAACUUGCAGUUUUUUUUACAUGAAAUUCACAAAUUAGAAGCUUUAUAGCUUGAAACGAAGAAACAAAGACAAUCCUUUCAUCAAAACCACCUAUCAAUUAAAAUAGGAUUUUUUUUACUGCGAAAAAAGCUUUUUCGGGGAAAAUCAAUUAGUGGUUUGGAUCUAGUACACAAGAUUGGCUUAGAAAGAUUUUAGGGCCUGGAAUGUCUGAGAAAUUGUGGGAUGUCACAAUCAAGCAUGCCAAAACUUGUGUUAUGGGAAAUAAAUACUAUGUUUUUCAAGGCACUAAUUACAGAGUCUUCUUAAACCCCAUUUGUCAACUUGUGAAAGCAGAGAUUAAUGGGACUACAUAUCCUAUACAAACCCUAAGUAGUAUCAACAGAAUUUGGUCAGACAAGCUUAUGGAAAUUGGUCUUCCUUGGAAGAAAUAGAAGGAAUUUCUAAUGAGAUUGGCUUUGCUCACACAAGGAAGUCGAAGAUUAUGAUGAUUAUGACAUGGAAGGAGAAUAUCAAGACGAAGAUGUCAUGGCAGAGAUCUGGUAAGGACCACUCAGUUCUUUUGGUCCUUCCGUCUGGCAUAUACCAUUACAAGUUCAUUGUCGAUGGUGAAUGGAGAUAUACACAUGAUUUGCCUUUUAUAGCUGAUGAAAUGGGCCGCAUUUGUAAUCUUCUUGAUGUUCUUGUAUGUAUCUUCUAAUCAUGUACCUUCGUUUUUACUUCAUCUAAUUCCUGGGCUGGUGUAGCAUGCAAAACCCGGAAUUUACAAAUUUAACAUAUAUUGUUGCUUAAAAACUAAAAUUCAGAGGUUGAAUAUAUUGUUUCAACUUUUGAGUUGACAUGGAGAAAUUAGAAAGAUAUGUGUUACAUAGGUUCUCUCUUGUCUAAGACAUCUCA